AUUGAACGCUGGCGGCAUGCCUUACACAUGCAAGUCGAACGGCAGCACGGGGCAACCUGGUGGCGGGUGGCGAACGGGUGAGUAAUGCAUCGGAACGUACCUUUCAGUGGGGGAUAACGUAGCGAAAGUUACGCUAAUACCGCAUAUUCUGUGAGCAGGAAGGCAGGGGAUCGCAAGACCUUGCGCUGAUUGAGCGGCCGAUGUCAGAUUAGCUAGUUGGUGAGGUAAAGGCUCACCAAGGCGACGAUCUGUAGCGGGUCUGAGAGGAUGAUCCGCCACACUGGAACUGAGACACGGUCCAGACUCCUACGGGAGGCAGCAGUGGGGAAUUUUGGACAAUGGGGGCAACCCUGAUCCAGCCAUGCCGCGUGAGUGAAGAAGGCCUUCGGGUUGUAAAGCUCUUUCGGCCGGGAAGAAAUCGCACGGGCUAAUACCCUGUGUGGAUGACGGUACCGGAAUAAGAAGCACCGGCUAACUACGUGCCAGCAGCCGCGGUAACAC
rnacentral:rRNA from 1 species